GCACGCUCUCGAGGAUGCCGAAGACAUCUCCGACGAUUCCCAAGACAAGAUUGCCGUCAGGUGCUGGCAUCGGCUCCGCCGCGCUUUCGCCGUCUGCAUUGCCCUCUUCAAAGGGUGCUGCAUCCAGAUUGCACGCAUCGGCCGGACAAAAUCAGCUCGUCUGCUGCAGUGGGCACGGGAAAGCUCCUUGUCUUUGUUCCUCCUACCCAGACCCAGGUCAGAGGAGCCCAUUCCGGCGAAUAACAGUGCCGCCAUCACAAACAAGCCACUUCCAGUGAUUAUUGAUAUUCCGGUGACUACCAAUGCUGAGGCCUCCGGCAAUGUGCGGUGGCUCUCUAGCUUGUGCACCUCGUUUGACUUGUUCAAGAACUGUGGUACAUCACUAUACAGCUGGUUAGCUCAUGUCUUUGAGGCUGCCUGCUUUUACAGAGACUGGUCAUACCAAGUGGUUGGCAUCAAAAAAUGUCAGGAGAAUGCCUCCUUAUUUGAUAUGUUAGAUGUAUUCUUUACUGCUAUGUCAAGAUUGAAAUUGAAGAAAAGGAUACAGCAGGUGGAAAACACCGUCAGUGAAGUGAAGAAGUCACCACUCUUGGGUGUGGCAGGCAACAGCACACCAAAAGAUAUUGCCAACAAAAACAGGAGAGAACUUGGAGCUGCUAGCAAGCGGGAGGUAUUUGGUCGAGAGGCGUUGCGUGAUGAUAUCAUGGCAAGGCUGCGUGAGAUACCACAGGGUGAUGCACCAAGCUAUAGUCCAUGUUACUCUGUGAUUGGCAUCUAUGGCGUUGCAGGGUCCGGGAAGACUACCUUUGCAGGAUAUAUUCGAGAUUACAUAAAGGAGGAAUGCAAGGAGGAGAAACUUUUCGACACUAUCAUGUGUAUUCAUGUGUCAGAGACUUUCAGUGUGGAGGAUAUAUUUCAAGAAAUGCUGAAGGAUAUUAGCCAAGAUAGUCUCUCUGGUAUUUCAGAUCAUAGGGGACUAAACAAAAAGUUGAAGGAAGCAUUGCGUGGCAAACGUUUCUUGUUGAUAUUGGAUGAUCUCUGGGUGAAGAACAAGAAUGACCAACAACUGGAGGAACUAAUCUCUCCACUCAAUGUUGGGUUGAAAGGGAGCAAAAUCCUGGUGACGGCUCGAACAAAAGAAGCAGCUGGAGCUCUGUGUGCCGAUAAACUUAUUGAAAUGCCUGAUUUGGAUGAGGAUCAGUACUUGACGAUGUUUAUGCAUUAUGCGCUAAGUUGUAAAAGUAUUGCCCUUAAAGAAUUUGAACAAGUUGGGAGAGAGAUUGCCAAAAAACUACACCGAUCACCUAUUGCAGCAGUAACAGUUGCAGGACGGCUUGGGGCAAACCCAAAUAUCAGUUUUUGGAAAAAUGUUGCAAAGCUUGACAUGUUGAAUGACACCAUGGAUGCUCUUUGGUGGAGCUAUCAGCAGCUUAAUCCGGACAUCAGGCGAUGCUUUGAAUUCUGCAAUAUUUUCCCCAGAAGAUUCCAACUGGAAAAAGACCAAUUAGUCCGCCUCUGGAUAGCACAAGGGUUUGUAAAGACCAGUUAUGCAAUAGAGGAGAUGGAAGAUGUAGCCGAGGGCUACAUUCAAGAGUUAGUGUCAUGCUCAUUUCUGCAACCAAAAGGAACAAGGUCGCUGAUGGAGGGUUCUAAUACUGAUUGCUUUACAAUUCAUGAUCUGCUGCAUGAUUUAGUAAACAAGGUCGCUGGAAGUGAUUGCUUCAGAAUCGAGAAUGAAAGGGGCCAUAGAGGAGAAGGCUGGAAAGGAGAUGUCCCUCGAGAUGUCCGACAUCUUUUUGUUGAGACAUAUAAUGCAGAAUUGAUUACUGAGAAUGUCAUUGGAUUGGAAAAUUUACGCACUCUCAUCAUCAAUGUUGUUGCAUGGGAUACACCAGUUGAGGAAAAGGUCCUUGAGAGUAUAUGCAUGAGUCUGCUGAAGUUGCGGGUACUGGCCAUUGAUUUCUACCAGAGACGUCGAAUCAGCAAUCCCAGUGAUAAGUUAUUGGUCCCAGAAUCCAUUAUUCAGUUAAAGCACCUCCGCUAUCUAGCUUUCCCGAAAAGUCGCCAAUGCAAGGUUGUUUUACCAUGCACACUAGCUAAACUUGUCCAUAUCCAGCUGCUAGAUUUUGGUGAAGGCGAAAUUUCGGAAUUUACAUUUUCUGACCUUACCAACUUGCGGCACAUAUUAUGCCUGGACGUGAACUUUCCUAACAUAGGCAGGCUAAGCUCACUUCAAACAGUAUCAGACUUCGUAGUAAUGAAUCGACAGGGUUAUGAGAUAAAGCAGCUUAGGGACCUAAACAAGAUUCGUGGCAGGCUGCGGAUCAUUGGCCUUGGAGAUGUUAAAAGCAAGGAGGAAGCUCUUGAAGCCAAUCUAGCUGCCAAGGAAAGGCUCAUGGAACUGACACUACUGUUCUGUCGGCGCACUGCAGAAGUUGAAGCAGAGGUACUUGAGGCCUUGUGCCCUCCUGUGGGGCUUGAAAAACUGUCUAUCUGGUUCUACAGUGGCUCAAGGUACCCAGAUUGGAUAGUGGGUAAGCUGAACGGUGGCCCAAAGGGCCUGCAAGUACUUGAAUUAUUUCACUGCAGCCAACUGGGACCUGGUCCUCAACUUGUGGGUUUCCCUCAUCUUCGUAACCUCAGAAUUGGGUGGUGCGACUGGGACACCUUAGCAGGCAAAAUGGAGCACCUCACAUCGCUCGAGACACUGGAGAUCAUUGGAUGCGAGAAUAUCCGGUCGCUUCCAGCACUGCCCCGGUCUCUGUUGAAGUUUGAACUUUAUCACUGCCAUGAUGAGCUGAUGAAGGGUUGUCAAACAGUAGGAGAUCCAAACUGGCUUAAGAUAAAGCACAUCCCCAUGAAAAUAUUUCGCCCACGCAUUAAUUCGUCAGCGUCCUCAGAAGGCCCUUCUCAUGCCCCUGAAGCGAUUUAGGCCUGAGCAAGACGGCGAAGGGAAUGUGCAUGAAGCAGGGAGGUGCAUGGUUUACAAGUUGAGAUUUGUUCUGUCCAUUCGUGUGAUUCGAGUGUGUUAUCUGUCAAGACUGUAUUCCUCUUUGCUGCCUUGUUUGUACCUCGCUUAUGCAGCUCUCUGGAUCUGCUGGUUUCAUCUCUGCUUCUGAUUCCUUGAGGCGUGUGUUCAUGCUCUGCUUGACCCAGUUACGUACUAGUUGCUUGUCUUCAACAACAAGGCCCUUCAACCCGUUGCCUGGUCAUAUAAGAAAUGAAAAUCUUGUAAUAUUAUACCGUUUGUUCCUGAAGAAAGCUACUGUCAGUCCGGCCGGCGACAGGCUUAUUAUAGGUGGGAUGCUAGAAUCUGAAAAUCUGGUUUCUUUCAAGUUUCAACCAUCAAGAGUUGUUCAUCAGCACAUUCUGAUGAGUGGGGUCAUUGACCUCAAAUGAUAAUAUUGGAGGUGUCUGCUCAAGAAUCUGAAUUCUGAAACCUUGCACUAUUGUGCAUAUUGUUCCUUGAAAAGAGAGACUGUACUUUUAUUUCAUGAAGCUAAACCGCACGCAAGCAUCUGGUUCAGGCUACUCUCAUUUUUCAGGAUUGCUUUCUGAAGCUUCUUUUGGUGGUCAUUUGAGUUCAGUCUACUAAGCAAAAUAAUCAGGCCAGCACUUAUCCGAAGGCCUGUACGAGUGUCUUAAUUAAAUUGACAAAAUGUGGUACAGCCUGACGAUCUUCUGCUAGAGUGAAUUUAUUUAUAUUCUAGCAUCAGCAGCAAUAGUCACUAGAUGCAGUUUCCGUGGAAUAGCACAUAAAUGAAGACAUUCAGGCUUUGGUAAUGUGCAUGGUUUUAUGUUGGCAAUCCUGAAAAAGAAAACCUGGUGAUUUUGUUUAAGGAAGCUAAACGGUCUUGUCCGGACGCUUCAGAAUUGGUUUCUUUUGAUGUGAUUUCUGAACUUGUAUAGCCCCCUUCUUUUCAUCCUAUAACCAACCUGAGAUAAUUCAGGUCAAUAAAGGCACUUGUCACCAGCUGUUUCUGUGGAAUAGCUUCAGCUUAACUGAUGUUCAGUUCAGAGAGACAACCUGAGAUAAUUCAGGUCAAUAAAGGCACUCUUCACAAAAUUCAGAGCAUAUAUGUCACACGAGUAAUGCAAGUAGUGUCCAGCAGAUCAUAUGAAAAGUACUAUUGUCGAUCAUGGAUCGGAUCGCAUUGGGGUUCUUUUUCUUUUUUGCAUUGCCCAUGCAUAGCUUUGGUCUUACAAGACUUUGCUAUCCGCCGGCGAGUUU